rnacentral:lncRNA from 1 species
UUUUCAGUCAAGGCUCUAGAGUCUAGACUAGAGCAGUACCUGUACCUGCUGUACACGUUAACUUCCUCCCAUUCCUUCAGACCUUCCUUGGGUUCUUAAUUAGGUUUUUUUUUUAGAAAAGAAAGAAGACCCCGGCCUAUGCGUCUGCAGGGUUCUGAAUUAGGUGAGAAACCGUUUCAUACUAGUGUUAUUUUGGAUUGUACGAGGGAGUAGAGAGGUUAUGUAAAUUUUCUUAUGCGAUGGAUUGCGCUGUUGGUUGUAUGCAUCCAGUGACGCAGAGGCCCGGGUGAUCCCUUUUUCGAAAGAAAAAGGAUGUUCUGUUCUGUUUACUACGCAGUAGCUUGCAACACAGAAGGCUCAGUCGAACAAGGACCCAAGGGAACAAAUUUAAGACUCAAGGAAAGUAGAGGCUGGCAGAUACUUCUUGUAUAGUCUGAUUUUACUUGAAAUAACAAGUUUCUCCGUUGAUUUUCAUAAUGAAAUCGUCUAUAUCCAGACACAGUGAUUGCCUCAGCACUUCAGCAGAAGGAUUAUGAAACACAAAACAGAACUUCCAUGCACUUCUAACUAUUACUUGAACAAAUCCACAUACGUCAAUAUUUCAAACAGGAUUUUGAUGUUUUUGCAAGCGCUGCUGAUUG